UACGAAGGGGGCUAGCGUUGCUCGGAAUCACUGGGCGUAAAGCGCACGUAGGCGGAUUGCUAAGUCAGGGGUGAAAUCCUGGAGCUCAACUCCAGAACUGCCUUUGAUACUGGCGACCUUGAGUCCGGGAGAGGUGAGUGGAACUGCGAGUGUAGAGGUGAAAUUCGUAGAUAUUCGCAAGAACACCAGUGGCGAAGGCGGCCAACUGGACGAAGACUGACGCUGAGACACGAAAGCGUGGGGAGCAAACAGG
rnacentral:rRNA from 1 species